AGUGGCUCUCCAGGAAUCCUCCAGGCCUUCAGUACCAGAUUGGGAGUAAAGAGGAAACUAGACUGAGUGUGUACAUUGCUAAGAACUGAAAAUGGAAAACCAAGUGCAAUCAGUUAGACUUUGAAGAUAUUCAAGGAUUGUUGUCAGCAUCACUUUGAGGAAGAGUUUUCAAAGAACAUUGGUGACAAUGACAGAAGUGGCUCCUGUAAGUGGAACAGUUACACAGUCCUGAAAGUGUAAAAAUACAGCAACAUGUCAGUUAUGCUUUGUUUUGACAUGAUUCAGAACAGAGCUUGAGCAUCAGAAUGCAGUUCACCAAGGUGAGUUUUCAGAGAUCUCUGCUUCCUGGUCUCCACCUUGUGAAUGCUGUAAGAAUAGCUGAACACGAAGGGUGGAGGUGUGUUGGAACACUGUGUAGUUCCCAUCUCCACAAGAAGAUGGGCCAAUGAUGACUCCUUCUUUGGGGGUUGCAGGCCUGGAGAAGAUGGGAGAAGGACAGUGUCAUCUUCUGCGCACCAUGCCAUCUUUGUCAAGUCUCUUGAGCCUUUAAGUUUUACUUUCGUCUCUUCCAUCAUCAUACAUGUAAUAACACAUAUCAAAAGCCUCCUGUGAAAUAGAAAAAGACAAAACCACCAUCUAUGAAAGACAGAAAGGACAGCCGAGAAGGCCAAACAUGGUGGACAACAUCCUGCAACAAGAGCACCCAAGAUGCCCCUUGUCUUUUACAAAAACCCACAGGGAUCUUUAGCCAAGUAAAAUCAUAGCUGCAGAAAAGGGCUGGGGGAUGAGCCUUUGAAGUUACCAGGAAAGGCACUGGAGCCAGCUUGCGACCGAACUUCCAAGAAGUAAACAGGCUAUAGAGCAGUCCAAUACCACCUACAGCUUCACAGUCCACUAUUAAUUACCCUGAGCAUUUGUUUGUAUCAUCUGAAAUACUUCUGUAUUGCUUUGUAAUGAAUGUCUUUCCCCUAGACAUGGAUGUGGUAUGUCCCUUAAAUGUUACUGUAUUG